rnacentral:rRNA from 1 species
GGAGCCUACACAUGCAAGCCGAGCGGUAGAGAUCUUUCGGGAUCUUGAGAGCGGCGUACGGGUGCGGAACACGUGUGCAACCUGCCUUUAUCUGGGGGAUAGCCUUUCGAAAGGAAGAUUAAUACCCCAUAAUAUACUGAAUGGCAUCAUUCGGUAUUGAAAACUCCGGUGGAUAGAGAUGGGCACGCGCAAGAUUAGAUAGUUGGUGAGGUAACGGCUCACCAAGUCUACGAUCUUUAGGGGGCCUGAGAGGGUGAUCCCCCACACUGGUACUGAGACACGGACCAGACUCCUACGGGAGGCAGCAGUGAGGAAUAUUGGACAAUGGGUGAGAGCCUGAUCCAGCCAUCCCGCGUGAAGGACGACGGCCCUAUGGGUUGUAAACUUCUUUUGUAUAGGGAUAAACCUACCCUCGUGAGGGUAGCUGAAGGUACUAUACGAAUAAGCACCGGCUAACUCCGUGCCAGCAGCCGCGGUAAUACGGAGGGUGCAAGCGUUAUCCGGAUUUAUUGGGUUUAAAGGGUCCGUAGGCGGAUCUGUAAGUCAGUGGUGAAAUCUCACAGCUUAACUGUGAAACUGCCAUUGAUACUGCAGGUCUUGAGUGUUGUUGAAGUAGCUGGAAUAAGUAGUGUAGCGGUGAAAUGCAUAGAUAUUACUUAGAACACCAAUUGCGAAGGCAGGUUACUAAGCAACAACUGACGCUGAUGGACGAAAGCGUGGGGAGC